rnacentral:tRNA from 1 species
GCGGCUGUGGUCUAGACUGGUUAGGACCCAAGCUUCCCAAGCUUGUAGCCCGGGUUCAAAUCCCGGCAGCCGCA